CGGACGGGUGAGUAAUGCCUAGGAAUCUGCCUGGUAGUGGGGGACAACGUUUCGAAAGGAACGCUAAUACCGCAUACGUCCUACGGGAGAAAGCAGGGGACCUUCGGGCCUUGCGCUAUCAGAUGAGCCUAGGUCGGAUUAGCUAGUUGGUGAGGUAAUGGCUCACCAAGGCGACGAUCCGUAACUGGUCUGAGAGGAUGAUCAGUCACACUGGAACUGAGACACGGUCCAGACUCCUACGGGAGGCAGCAGUC
rnacentral:rRNA from 1 species